rnacentral:rRNA from 1 species
CAAGGUUUCCGUAGGUGACCUGCGGAAGGAU